rnacentral:misc_RNA from 1 species
AUGAGUUAGGGUCUUCUAGGCCCGAUCUCCAACCCUUUGUAUAACUACCAUGUUGCUUUGGCGGGCCCGUCUUUAACCGGACCGCCGGGGGUUUUUAACCCCUGGUCAGUGCUCGUCAGUAGCCCACACAAAUUCUUUUUAACCAUGUUAGAUCUGAAAAUAGUUAAAUAAACUA